rnacentral:lncRNA from 10 species
GCUUUCCACAUAUUAAAAAAAAUUUUUUUUAAGGUCGGGGGUGCUUGAAACCGUAAGAGUAAAUAAACCCUGUCCAAAUGAGAACUAGUCUAAAUCAUUACUGUAGUUCUAAGAGUUUGAAAUAGGUCAUAAUUGUGAGUUGCAAUGUUUUGUUUAUUUGGUUUAGCUCAAGAAUGUUGCCUUCAUUCCUCCCCAGCUCUCUUUGACUCACCCACACCUGUUAGGCGCUCCCUUUUAUGUUCCUACAGCAGCCUGCACACAUCUCCAUCACUGUAGUAACUGUAUAGUUUAGUAAUAGUUGAUUUUUUCCUAUGAAAAAAUGAAACUUCCUUGAGUGUAAAAAUUGUGUUUUUUCAGGUAUGCAUACCCAGAAUCAGGUUAAUUUUUGGUGAAAGAGAGGUUAACAGACAGCAUAUAAAUGAAAGAAAAUUGCCCCUCAUUUGGUUUUGAAUGCCUCCAAAUGGUUCUCUGCAUUUGGAUGGGUUGAUUGAGCCACUGGCACAAGAGUCCAUUUGCAAAUUGGCAUGGACCAGUGUUGCUUGAGAAAUCUCCCUGAGGGCAAUUCAAAAGAAAAUCUCCAAACUAAAACUCUAUGUCAGGUUACUUUUUGCUAUUUGCCCUUGGUCCUCACUAGGUGUAAGAAGAGUCUUCAAAAUGCCUGAGCAGGUACACAUUAUAACACACUGGGCAACAGUUAAUGUUCAAAUGGCUAUUCAAUAAUUUGUUUUACAUAAACACUGUCCAUAGAACUGCCUGUAUUUGUCAUGCUUCUCACAACAAGAACGCUUUCAAACUGCCUUCCUUACUGAGAAGUGGAUUUUAUAAUAUCAAUUUUACUAGUCGUGAUAACACUGGAAACUAGAACUAUCCCCUCCACUAAAGAUAAGUAACCUUGGAGCUUGCGACCAGGCUACGUUACUCGUCUGGAUCACACAGUGAGUUGACAGCUGUGAGGGCACCCCUUACUCUACCAUUCUUCAGUAACUGCUACUACAGUGUUUAAAGACGAGCAUAGCAGCAGCAUAACACCUUUGCACAUGGGGAAACCCAUAACAGUGAACCAAACAUCUGUAUUUUCUCCUACAGUGGGUGGUACUUACCAGGUAAGUCGAGUAAUCAGAGUAAUUGCUCUCCAGGGAGUGGUUAUGAACAUGAUUUAGCAAACUUGUUUUUAAUCUUCUGUUUUCAUCAUUUACAAAAGACACACCCUGCCUUUGCCCAUGUUUCUGUCACACCACUUCUCUAGCAGACACUACCUGUUCCCCAAGUAGCGCAAAUCCAGAUUCCAUAUGAGUUAUGACACAGAUGUUGAUAGCAUGUAUGUGCUACUGUUCUUUCCGAAUCUUAAUUUCUGUAGGCACAAAAUAUUUUUUCACUUAACAUCUAAUCUAGAUGAUUAAGAAGAUUAAGUAAAGCUGACUAUCUAAUUAGAUACAUGUAAGUCUUUAUUACUAAAGUAUUUAGGUUAACUUAGAAUGGAAGAUGCUGCCAAACUGAAUUAUAGGAAGAGAAAGAAAUCUACUGACCUAAAGUUUAGUGAUUCCUCUUUGCUGGGGCAUGCAAUCAAAAAUAUGCUAUCAAAUGCCUUAAGAAUAACUUUUAAAAUAUUAUAAAAAUAUGCCUUAGUUGGGCGUGGUGGUGCACGCCUGUAAUCCCAGCUAAUUGGGAGGCUGAGACAGGAGAACUGCUUGAAACUGAGAAGUGGAGGUUGCCAAGAUCACGCCAUUGCACUCCAACCCGGGCAACAAGAAAGAGAGACUCCAUUUCAAAAAAAAAAAAAAAAAAGUGCCAGCCAAGUGGCUCACAUCUGUAAUCUCAGCACUCUGGGAGGCUGAGGUGAGAGGAUCCCUUGAUCCCAGGAGUUCAAGACCAGCCUGGGCAACAUAGCGAGACCUUGUCUCUACUAAAAAUAAAAAAAAUUUUUUAAAAAAUAUAUAUACAUAUGUGUGUGUGUGUGUAUAUAUAUAUAUAUAGAGAGAGAGAGAGAGAGAGAGUGUGUGUGUGUGUGUGUGUGUGUGUGUGUGACAGAGGGUCUCACUCUGUCAUCUAGGCAGGAGUGCAGUGGCGGGAUCUUGGCUUACUGCAACCUCUGCCUCCCGGGUUCAAGUUAUUCUCCUGCCUCAGCCUCCCAAGUAGCUGGGAUUACAGGCGCCCAUCACCACACCUGGCUAAUCCACCUGCCUUGGCCUCCCAAAGUGCUGGGAUUACAGGUGUGAGCCACCGUGCCUGGCCAAAAAAAUAUAUGUUUGUAGAAUAAAAUAAAGAAUACAAAUGUAAAUUUUAAAAUGACCAAUAAUCUUACCACCUAGAAAUAAUAAAUUGCUAAUAUUUUGGUGUCUUUGCUUCCAGAAAGUUCUUUAUGCUCAAGCUGAAUUUGCUAUACGAACUGACACCUGGGGCAGGCCUAUGCCAGUUAGUUGCUGAGUAAAGCAUAAUCAGAAUG